rnacentral:tRNA from 1 species
GCUUAGGUUAAGCCACUAAACCAGUGACCUUCAAAGCCACAAACAAGAGACAACACCUCUUAGCCCC